CGGGGUGUGGCCCAGUUGGUAGGGCGCGGCAUUUGGGAUGCUGAGGUCGCGCGUUCAAAUCGCGUCACUCCGACCA
rnacentral:tRNA from 1 species